AUUGAACGCUGGCGGCAGGCCUAACACAUGCAAGUCGAACGAGUGGCGGACGGGUGAGUAAUGUCUGGGAAACUGCCCGAUGGAGGGGGAUAACUACUGGAAACGGUAGCUAAUACCGCAUACCAUCGGAUGUGCCCAGAUGGGAUUGGCUAGUAGGUGGUGUAAAGGCUCACCUAGGCGACGAUCCCUAGCUGGUCUGAGAGGAUGACCGGCCACACUGGAACUGAGACACGGUCCAGACUCCUACGGGAGGCAGCAGUGGGGAAUAUUGCACAAUGGGCGCAAGCCUGAUGCAGCCCUGCCGCGUGUUGGAAGAAGGCCUUCGGGUUGUAAAGCACGUUCAGCGGGGAGGCGUUACCCGCAGAAGAAGCACCGGCUAACUCCGUGCCAGCCGCCGCGGUAAUUC
rnacentral:rRNA from 1 species